CUGCACUGAUGAGAAUGAUCCACCACCCAAAUAACACCUGCUCAAAUCAGUGGUAGUCCUGAGGGGGUCCUGACUGAUAAUGAAUCAGGUUUCAACAUAACGGCAUCAGAAAUGGAGAAGGAAGCACGUCUACCAAUGAAGGUUAAAAAAAGACGCAGGAGGAGGAUACUUACUGCUGAACUACACAGGCAGCAGUAUCAUCAGGAGGGUCAGUGGCAUGCAAGAGAGGCGUUCUGCACAGUGUUGGACAGCAGGAAACUCCACGGUGGUCAAAAUAGUCCAGAAGGUGUGUGAGCAGGGGCACUUGAGGCAGAUGAAGCUACAGCAUCAGACUGCACAGGAUGGGCGGUUGUUCAGCUCAGCAAAGAAACACACAGACAGUUAGUUCUGUUAGGAGUCAUACAUUACUUGUGUGGAUAAAAGUCACAUGUAAUGCCAUGUUUGGGUGCUCAUUGGUAGAUUGUACACACCAGAUGAUUGAUUAUAAAAUAUGAUUUCACUCUG